rnacentral:ncRNA from 1 species
GCAAAAACAGAUAAGGGCAGACGGUGGAUGCCUUGGCUCUCGGAGGCGACGAAGGACGUGAUAAGCUGCGAUAAGCUACGGGGAUUGGCACAUACAAAUUGAUCCGUAGAUUUCCGAAUGGGGCAACCCGGCAUGUAGAAGACAUGUCACACUGCAGAGCAGUGAGCGAACGUGGGGAACUGAAACAUCUAAGUACCCAUAGGAGAAGAAAACAAAAGUGAUUCCCUUAGUAGUGGCGAGCGAACGGGGAACAGCCCAAACCAGAUUUGUUUCGGCAAAACUGGGGUUGUAGGACCUCGAUAUAGGAAGACAAGAUUAGGAGAACGGUCUGGAAAGGCCGGCCAUAGAACAUGACAGCUGUGUAUCCGAAAAUGUUCGUUGGACUUAGAGGUAUCCUGAGUAGCGCGGGACACGUGAAAUCCUGUGUGAAUCUGCGGGGCCCAUCCCGUAAGGCUAAAUACUCCCGAGAGACCGAUAGUGAACCAGUACCGUGAGGGAAAGGUGAAAAGAACCUCGAACAGAGGAGUGCAAUAGAUCCUGAACCCGUCUGCCUACAAGCGGUAGGAGCAGCUUCGAGCUGUGACUGCGUGCCUUUUGCAUAAUGAACCUACGAGUUACUUUCUCUGGCAAGGUUAAGUGAUGAAGAGUCACGUGAGCCGAAGCGAAAGCGAGUCUGAAUAGGGCGGUUUAGUCAGAGGGAGUAGACGCGAAACCAAGUGAUCUACCCUUGGUCAGGUUGAAGGUUGGGUAAAACCAACUGGAGGACCGCACCGGUAAGCGUUGAAAAGCUUUCGGAUGAACUGAGGGUAGGGGUGAAAGGCUAAUCAAACUUGGAGAUAGCUCGUACUCCCCGAAAUGCAUUUAGGUGCAGCCUGUGGAGUUUCUUACGUGAGGUAGAGCGACUGAUUGGAUGCGAGGCUUUCACCGGCUAUCAAGUCCAGACAAACUCCGAAUGCACGUUAAGUAAUAUCCACGGAGUGAGGGCAUGGGUGCUAAGGUCCAUGUCCGAGAGGAGAAGAAUCCAGACCAUCGGCUAAGGUCCCGAAAUAAUAGCUAAGUUGACCAAACGAAGUCAGAGUGCGAAGACAGCUAGGAUGUUGGCUUGGAAGCAGCCAUUCAUUUAAAGAGUGCGUAACAGCUCACUAGUCGAGUGCUUUGGCGUGGAUAAUAAUCGGGCAUAAGCUAUUUACCGAAGCUGUGGGAUGUGUAAACAUCGGUAGGGGAGCAUUCUAGCGGCGCUGAAGGUGAGAGGACAACUCUUGCUGGAG